UCCCCGGUAGCUCAGCGGUAGAGCAGACGACUGUUAAUCGUCUGGCCGGCGGUUCGAAUCCGUCCCGGGGAGCCA
rnacentral:tRNA from 2 species